rnacentral:rRNA from 1 species
UACGAAGGGGGCUAGCGUUGCUCGGAAUUACUGGGCGUAAAGGGCGCGUAGGCGGAUAGUUAAGUUUGGUGUGAAAUCUCCCGGCUCAACUGGGAGGGUGCGCCGAAUACUGAAUGACUUCGAGUACGGGAGAGGUGAGUGGAAUUCCUGGUGUAGCGGUGAAAUGCGUAGAUAUCAGGAGGAACACCGGUGGUGUAGACGGCUCACUGGACCGUAACUGACGCUGAGACACGAAAGCGUGGGUAGCAAACAGG